rnacentral:tRNA from 1 species
GCGGGAUUAGUUUAGUGGCAGAACGAGUCCUUCCCAAGGAUUAGACGGGGUUUCGAUUACCCCAUCCCGCA